GCUCGUGGCUUCACUGAGGCAGCGUUGAUCCUCCACAGGUCUCUCCGUGGGGCCUUCCCUCCGGGCACCACCUUCCCAUGUGGGACUUCACCCAGGGAAGAGGACUCCACAGAGAGGACCUUCUUCUCUCGGCCCCCGCUGCGGGAGAAGCUGAGCCGUCACUCUGGUGUUGUUGCUGGAGCUGGUUCCUUGUUGACCAUGGACCCCGGGUCUCCGGGCUCCGGCCCAGGUUCCAGCCCGCAUAGCCCAGAUGUACAACGAGUUGAGUCCCUGACCGACACCCUGCCUUCGCCGGUGAUCGAUCACAGCCACUCAGCGACGCUUGUGGCUUCCCAGCUGCAGCCUCAGCCGCGAGCCCUCCAGUCCGGGCUCUGGCUGAAGGCCCUGCACCUCCUCCUGGCCCUGAAGGGGCUCGUCUGCUCCUUCCCGUGGGUCCAGCAGGUGCUGCAGCUCCAGAGAAGCCUGUUGAGGAGCUCUGGAUCCGCCACACAGGACCUGCUGGCUCUCCUGGCCUCCAUCGCCCGUUGCUUCACUGAGGCAGCGUUGACCCUCCACAGGUCUCUCCGUGGGGCCUUCCCUCCGGGCACCACCUUCCCAUGUGGGACUUCACCCAGGGAAGAGGACUCCCCAGAGAGGACCUUCUUCUCUCGGCCCCCGCUGCGGGAGAAGCUGAGCCGUCACUCUGGUGUUGUUGCUGGAGCUGGUUCCUUGUUGACCAUGGACCCCGGGUCUCUGGGCUCUGGCCCAGGUUCCAGCCCGCAUGGCCCAGAUGUACAACGGGUUGAGUCCCUGACCGACACCCUGCCUUCGCCGGUGAUCGAUCACAGCCACUCAGCGACGCUUGUGGCUUCCCAGCUGCAGCCUCAGCCACGAGCCCUCCAGUCCGGGCUCUGGCUGAAGGCCCUGCACCUCCUCCUGGCCCUGAAGGGGCUUGUCUGCUCCUUCCCGUGGGUCCAGCCGGUGCUGCAGCUCCAGAGAAGCCUGUUGAGGAGCUCUGGAUCCGCCACACAGGACCUGCUGGCUCUCCUGGCCUCCAUCGCUCGUGGCUUCACUGAGGCAGCGUUGACCCUCCAAAGGUCUCUCCGUGGGGCCUUCCCUCCGGGCACCACCUUCCCAUGUGGGACUUCACCCAGGGAAGAGGACUCCACAGAGAGGACCUUCUUCUCUCGGCCCCCGCUGCGGGAGAAGCUGAGCCGUCACUCUGGUGUUGUUGCUGGAGCUGGUUCCUUGUUGACCAUGGACCACGGGUCUCCGGGCUCAGGCCCAGGUUCCAGCCCGCAUGGCCCAGAUGUACAACGAGUUGAGUCCCUGACCGACACCCUGCCUUCGCCGGUGAUCGAUCACAGCCACUCAGCGACGCUUGUGGCUUCCCAGCUGCAGCCUCAGCCGCGAGCCCUCCAGUCCGGGCUCUGGCUGAAGGCCCUGCACCUCCUCCUGGCCCUGAAAGGGCUCGUCUGCUCCUUCCCGUGGGUCCAGCAGGUGCUGCAGCUCCAGAGAACCCUGUUGAGGAGCUCUGGAUCAGCCACACAGGACCUGCUGGCUCUCCUGGCCUCCAUCGCUCGUGGCUUCACUGAGGCAGCGUUGAUCCUCCACAGGUCUCUCCGUGGGGCCUUCCCUCCGGGCACCACCUUCCCAUGUGGGACUUCACCCAGGGAAGAGGACUCCCCAGAGAGGACCUUCUUCUCUCGGCCCCCGCUGCGGGAGAAGCUGAGCCGUCACUCUGGUGUUGUUGCUGGAGCUGGUUCCUUGUUGACCAUGGACCCCGGGUCUCUGGGCUCCGGCCCAGGUUCCAGCCCGCAUGGCCCAGAUGUACAACGAGUUGAGUCCCUGUCCGACACCCUGCCUUCGCCGGUGAUCGAUCACAGCCACUCAGCGACGCUUGUGGCUUCCCAGCUGCAGCCUCAGCCGCGAGCCCUCCAGUCCGGGCUCUGGCUGAAGGCCCUGCACCUCCUCCUGGCCCUGAAGGGGCUCGUCUGCUCCUUCCCGUGGGUCCAGCAGGUGCUGCAGCUCCAGAGAAGCCUGUUGAGGAGCUUUGGAUCCGCCACACAGGACCUGCUGGCUCUCCUGGCCUCCAUCGCUCGUGGCUUCACUGAGGCAGCGUUGACCCUCCACAGGUCUCUCCGUGGGGCCUUCCCUCCGGGCACCACCUUCCCAUGUGGGACUUCACCCAGGGAAGAGGACUCCCCAGAGAGGACCUUCUUCUCUCGGCCCCCGCUGCGGGAGAAGCUGAGCCGUCACUCUGGUGUUGUUCCUGGAGUUGGUUCCUUGUUGGGGAACAUCGACCCCGGUUCUCCGAGCUCCGGCCCAGGUUCCUCCCCACAUGACACGGAUGAAGAAUGGUUUGAGGCCCUGACUGACACCCUGUCUGUUCCGGUGAUCAUCCACAGCGUCUCACUGAAGCUUAUGCUGUGCCAGCUGCUCCUGCAGGUAAACAUCAGCUUCCAUCGUGUGUCCAUGUCCACACUCAUUCCUUUAUUCUUGUUGUUUUUUCUCCCUUGUCAAACACUUCCUGGUGCUGUUUUCUCUAAAAAAGCGCUUUGUAAAAAGUUGGCUUUGCCCUCCCCCCAUUGCCAGCUGGAGCCGCGAGCCCUUCGGACGGGGAUCUCGCUGAAGGCCCAGGGCCUCCUCCGGGACCUGAAGGAGCUGCUCUGCUCCUUCCCUUGGGUCCAGGUGACGGAGGAGAAACAGGAGGCCAACACCUUCCGCUAGUCCACCGCUGUCUACCAGGUAACCCAGCGUGUGCUGGACAGUCUGGAGCGGACCCUGGGCCCCAGGUGUGUUCUGAGGGAAGCAGGGGCCUUCUCCUCCCUGCUCCUCCAACACCACCUGCUCCACCUGGUGGCUCUCAACACGGCCCGGCUGCUUCCAGACGAGGAGUCUGCUCGUCAGCAGAGACAGGUGGUGGCUGCCCCCCGCCCUCUCCCUCCACCCUUCUCCGUCAGCUCUGAGCUGGUGAAGGUCCUCCUGGUUCAGCUGGUGCUCACGCUGCACCCUGUGGACGCUUCUGGGGACCAGGCGCUGAGUCCCCGGGACCUCCAGGAGCUGUUGGACCAUUUGACCGCAGUCAUCCAUCGUAUCCUGGACCACACCCCCGGGGUGGCUGUGGACAGCGGCUCUCCCCUUCCACUGUGCAACACCCUGCGGCCGGUGCUGCAGCUCCAGAGCACCCUGUUGAGGGAGUUUGAGUCGGCCACACAGGUGGACAUUCAUCCUUUCAUUUGUCCUCGGCAUUUGUGCAAUUGCGUUUUUUCCUUCAUGCACAUUUCUGUUCAUGAAAAUUUCCAAGUCCCAAUCUUCUUGCUUGAAGUAUACUUUUCCUUUCUUAUUAGUUGACUGGUAGUAAUGUAAUGAGUACUGCUACAUAAGGCUGUAAAGCAGGUUUUUCGCUGGGCAUUUUUUGUGACCCAAACUAAAAGAAUGUCUUCUUUCUCUCGUGUGUGAAGGAACUGCUGGCUCGGAGAGACCCAGCUCUCCUGGCCUCCAUCGCCAAUGGUGUCGCUGAGGCAGUGUUGACCAUCUACAGGUCUCUCCGUGGGGCCUUCCCUCCGGGCACCACCUUCCCAUGUGUGACUUCACCAAGGGAAGAGGACUCCACAGAGAGGACCUCCUCCCUGACCUCUGUGGAGGACAGGGAGGAACAAGGGGAUGGCCAGAGGAAAGCCCACAACCUCUGCCCUCUGGUCGAGGUCCCUCUGCUCGAGGUCCCUCUUGUCGAGGUCCCUCUGCUCGAGGUCCCUCUGGUCGAGGUCCCUCUGGUCGAGGUCCCUCUGGUCGAGGUCCCUCUGGUCGAGGUCCCUCUGCUUGAGGUCCCUCUGGUUGAGGGACCCCCCAUUUUCACGAAAGGGAAAAGAAAAACAGUGACCUGGAAGGAUCCUCUGGAGAGUACGGAGCCGGUCGCUCCGUGCUCUCAGAAGAAGAAGCGGAGGAAGAAGAAGUGGUACUCUCGCUUCAGAGGACUGUUCUGUUGUUGCAGUGGCCAGUCAGAAUAAAAAUAAAAUUUAUUUUUUAGUAUAUUUUAAUGGUUGUUGAUUCAUGUAUUUAUUCCAACUAUUGUGAUUAUGCUAAAUAUCUCCUGAUAUAUGGUACCAAAGUAUUUUCAGUAUUGAAAAUGGCUCCUUAUUUUCAAAAUAACUUAAUAUUAUAUAAUAUGUACAACUGAUGUUGUUCCCAGUCAUACGUAGUAACCCUUAUUAUCAUUAGAGUCUGCUCUAAGAAGAAGAGAAUAUUACGUCAAUAUGAUGGCAGAUGCUAU
ensembl:lncRNA